GAUGAACGCUAGCGGCAGGCCUAACACAUGCAAGUCGAGGGGUAGAGUGCUUCGGCACUUGAGACCGGCGUACGGGUGCGUAACGCGUGUACAAUCUACCUUUUGCUAAGGGAUAGCCCGAAGAAAUUUGGAUUAAUACCUUAUAGUAUUAUUUGGUGGCAUCAUUAAAUAAUUAAAGCUACGGUGGCAAAAGAUGAGUACGCGUCCCAUUAGCUAGUUGGAGUGGUAACGGCACACCAAGGCUACGAUGGGUAGGGGUUCUGAGAGGGAUGUCCCCCACACUGGUACUGAGACACGGACCAGACUCCUACGGGAGGCAGCAGUGAGGAAUAUUGGACAAUGGUCGGAAGACUGAUCCAGCCAUGCCGCGUGCAGGAUGACGGCCUUAUGGGUUGUAAACUGCUUUUGUAUGGGAAGAAUAAGGUCUACGUGUAGAUUGAUGACGGUACCGUACGAAUAAGCAUCGGCUAACUCCGUGCCAGCAGCCGCGGUAAUACGGAGGAUGCGAGCGUUAUCCGGAAUCAUUGGGUUUAAAGGGUCCGUAGGCGGGCUUAUAAGUCAGAGGUGAAAGCACUGAGCUCAACUGAGUAACUGCCUUUGAAACUGUAGGUCUUGAAUGUUUGUGAAGUAGCUGGAAUGUGUAGUGUAGCGGUGAAAUGCAUAGAUAUUACACAGAACACCGAUUGCGAAGGCAUGUUACUAACAAAUUAUUGACGCUGAUGGACGAAAGCGUGGGGAGCGAACAGGAUUAGAUACCCUGGUAGUCCACGCUGUAAACGAUGGAUACUAGCUGUUUGGCAGUAAUGCUGAGUGGCUAAGCGAAAGUGAUAAGUAUCCCACCUGGGGAGUACGCACGCAAGUGUGAAACUCAAAGGAAUUGACGGGGGCCCGCACAAGCGGUGGAGCAUGUGGUUUAAUUCGAUGAUACGCGAGGAACCUUACCAAGGUUUAAAUGGGAAACGACGUAUCUAGAGAUAGAUAUUUCUUCGGACGUUUUUCAAGGUGCUGCAUGGUUGUCGUCAGCUCGUGCCGUGAGGUGUCAGGUUAAGUCCUAUAACGAGCGCAACCCCUGCUGUUAGUUGCUAGCGAGUCAAGUCGAGCACUCUAACGGGACUGCCGGUGCAAACCGUGAGGAAGGUGGGGAUGACGUCAAAUCAUCACGGCCCUUACA
rnacentral:rRNA from 1 species